rnacentral:misc_RNA from 1 species
GGCUUCUCCGAUAACAAGAUGAGAAUCUGAGCUUAUGAUGACGGCGUCUUAUGAUUGGUGACUUAAUUGAUUUUGUCAUGGUCAUUGACUCCCUUGCAAGAUUCAUCUUCUUCUUAAUCAACACCGAUUACAACACCAUUUUACAAUAGAUUGCCGAGAUUAGGGAAAAAAAAAUUUGCACCAAGCGAAAUAGGAAAUUGAGGACAACAAUGAAUUAAGCACGAGAACAUGAGGUGAACAAUGAGGAGAGGAAAAUAAAAGAGGAGUGGCAAAAUUAGGGU